CAAAUACUCCCUCCGUCCGGAAAUACUUGUCAUCAAAAUGGAUAAAAGGAAAUGUAUCUAGACGUAUUUUAUUUUUAGAUAUAUCUUUUUAUCCAUUUAGAUGACAAGUAUUUUCGGACGGAGGGAGUAGAAA
rfam:Triticum aestivum genome assembly, contig: Triticum_aestivum_CS42_TGACv1_scaffold_577159_7BL